CAACCAAAACAUUUCCCCCCUUUUCUCAGGGGGGGGGGGAUUUCCUCGUGGAAUUUCCAGGGAGGGUAUACAAUUGUAAGAUAUUUUCCAGGGGGUAUAGCAAUGAAAUACGGGAAAUUCCAAGGAAUUAAAAUGUUUGGAAAUUCCAGGGGACCCUAACAAAAUGUCACUUUUCCAAGGGGCUUUUUUCAUUGCCUCCUUGGAAUUUCCAGGGAGGGUAUACAAUUGUAAGAUAUUUUCCGGGGGUAUAGCAAUGAAAUACGGAAAUUCCAAGGAAUUAAAAUGUUUGGAAAUUCCAGGGGACCCUAACAAAAUGUCACUUUUCCAAGGGGCUUUUUUCAUUGCCUCCUUGGAAUUUCCAGGGAGGGUAUACAGUUGUAAGAUAUUUUCCGGGGGUAUAGCAAUGAAAUACGGAAAUUCCAAGGAAUUAAAAUGUUUGGAAAUUCCAGGGGACCCUAACAAAAUGUCACUUUUCCAGGGGGCUUUUUUCAUUGCCUCCUUGGAAUUUCCAGGGAGGGUAUACAAUUGUAAGAUAGUUUCCAAGGGGUAUGGCAAUAAAAUAAGGGCAGUUCCGAAUAUCACACUUUUCCAGGGGGCUUUUCUCCAUUUUUUCUCUUGGAAUUUCCGGGGAGGGUAUGCAAUUCAAAGGUAUUUUCCAGGGGGAUAUGACAAUGAAAGCUCGGAAAUUCCAGAGGGGGGAUGUAAAUAAGCCAAAUUCCGGGGGUGGCAUUUUAACUGAAAAGGAUGUCCUCAACCCCCCCUGUGCGGAUAAUAAAUGCAAUC